rnacentral:tRNA from 1 species
GCGUUCUUAGUGUAGCGGUUAUCAUCCAAGCCUUCCAAGCUUGGGACAGGGGUUCGACUCCCCUAGGACGCA